GGGGAUGUCAAGGUUUCGACGGGGUUAGCAGGUUAUAGACAGCAGGUCGGUGUGGUUACCGCGAAAGACCAAAAACUCGUUUAAAUGACGAAAACAAUUACGCUUUAGCUGCUUAGUUGUCAGCUCAUCCCGGGAUACGUCUUCUGUAUGCGUAUUCCAAGGGGUGUAACCCAUAUACAGAUUACCCGCUCCGAUGUUUCUAAGGAAGCGGGGACAUUCGCGAAACUUGUAUGUUCGAGCCCUGUUUGCGGGAUUCGGGCAUAUGAAAUCCUAUAGCAAACUAAGCUUGUAGAAGUUUAUGGCGCUGUUAGUUUCGGACACGGGUUCGACUCCCGUCAUCUCCACCA
rnacentral:tmRNA from 1 species